rnacentral:rRNA from 1 species
AACGAACGCUGGCGGCAGGCCUAACACAUGCAAGUCGAGCGAAGCCUUCGGGCUUAGCGGCGGACGGGUGAGUAACGCGUGGGAACGUGCCCUUUGGUACGGAAUAGCCCCGGGAAACUGGGAGUAAUACCGUAUGUGGUCGAGAGACGAAAGAUUUAUCGCCAAAGGAUCGGCCCGCGUUGGAUUAGGUAGUUGGUGGGGUAAUGGCCUACCAAGCCGACGAUCCAUAGCUGGUUUGAGAGGAUGAUCAGCCACACUGGGACUGAGACACGGCCCAGACUCCUACGGGAGGCAGCAGUGGGGAAUCUUAGACAAUGGGGGAAACCCUGAUCUAGCCGUGCCGCGUGAUUGAUGAAGGCCUUAGGGUUGUAAAGAUCUUUCAGUGGGGAAGAUAAUGACUGUACCCACAGAAGAAGCCCCGGCUAACUCCGUGCCAGCCGCCGCAGUAAUAC